rnacentral:rRNA from 1 species
GACGAACGCUGGCGGCGUGCUUAACACAUGCAAGUCGAACGGAAAGGCCCUGCUUUUGUGGGGUGCUCGAGUGGCGAACGGGUGUGUAACACGUGAGUAACCUGCCCCUGUCUUUGGGAUAACUUCAGGAAACUGGGGCUAAUACCGGAUAGGAGCUCCUGCUGCAUGGUGGGGGUUGGAAAGUUUCGGCGGUUGUGGAUGGACUCGCGGCUUACCGGCUUGUUGGUGGGGUAGUGGCUUACCAAGGCUUUGACGGGUAGCCGGCCUGAGAGGGGGACCGGCCACAUUGGGACUGAGAUACGGCCCAGACUCCUACGGGAGGCAGCAGUGGGGAAUAUUGCACAAUGGGCGGAAGCCUGAUGCGGCAACGCCGCGUGCGGGAUAACGGCCUUCGGGUUGAAAACCGCUUUGGCCUGUAACAAAGCGUGAGUGACGGUAAUUGGUAAAGAAGCACCGGCUAACUACGUG